rnacentral:rRNA from 1 species
GCAAGUCGAACGGAAACGAUACUAGCUUGCUAUUAGGCGUCGAGUGGCGGACGGGUGAGUAACGCUUAGGAAUCUGCCUGAUAGUGGGGGAUAGCCCGUAGAAAUUCGGAUUAAUACCGCAUAAUCUAUUCGUAGUAAAGUGGGGGACUUUCGAGCCUCACGCUAUCAGAUGAGCCUGCGUAAGAUUAGCUAGUUGGUAGGGUAAAAGCCUACCAAGGCUACGAUCUGUAGCUGGUCUGAGAGGAUGAUC